GCCCAAUUUUUCUGAAUGUCAUUAAGGGCAAAGUUGUCAUUUACGGUGCGUGAAAAGUUUAUUGAAAGUUUUCGUUCCUUUCAUAGUCGACCCUUUCAUCUUGGAAGAGGAAGUCUAGGGUUAGGGUUGAGAGAGAGCGAGAAAGAAAAGAAAAAAGGAGAACUCCAUGGCUGCCACAGGCUGGACGUGAUCGGUGAUCAGAAGAGUUGGAAUCGGCAAAGUGCGAAGCAUCAGUUGUUGAAUGAAGGGGAUGGGGCAUUCUAUGGACCAAAGAUAGACAUCAGUGUAUCUGAUGCAUUAAUUAAGAAAUUUCAGUGUGCAACUUUGCAGCUUAACUUCCAGCUUCCUGAUCGUUUGAAGUUGGAAUUCUCUGCUGAGGAUGAAGCCAAAAUUGAGAGACCUGUAAUGAUACAUAGAGCAAUUCUAGGAUCUGUUGAACACAUGUUUGCCAUACUUUUAGAGCACUACAAGGGUAAAUGGCCUUUCUGGCUCAAUCCUCUUCAAGUAAUUGUAUGUCUUGUGUUUGGAAAAUCACUAUCUUAUGCACUACAGUACGAGAAGCACAAUUAGCUCAGUACAAGUACAUGUUGGUUGUCGGAGAGGAGGAAGCAAAUACUGGACAGGUUGUAUGGCCAUCUGAAGUUGUCGUGAUAGAUUUACUCUGCUUUCAUAAAGUAGGAACAACUAAAAUAAGUUAUAGAAAUUUAUUGGUUGCUCUAAGUGUACUAAUUUUCGUGUUUCCAUCAUGCUUGAUGAUAUGAAGUGCUUUAUUGGAAGUUAAUUGUUCUCCACAAGCACAUAACCAUUGGGAAUGGUCACAUAUCAACCAAGUAACAAUAUAGAAAUAUUUAUCCUUUAGCUACAAUUAUAACUAAGGUGGUUGUAUCUUGAUUGAUACCGCAUGCAUUUUUAAUCUUUUAGGCACACCAAUAAGGAGGAAAUUUAAAGAGAUGUACAUUUAUUGGAAAGAUGGAUAGGAUACUUAGUAGGAUAAACAAUUACAUUCAAGCACAGAUUUUUAAAGAGGCUAAUGCAGUUUUAACAAAGAAUUAUUGUGGUGUUAUAUAUUUUUUGAACUUUUUUUAUCACUUUGAAUAUACUCCCCGUAU